UCUAUACAUUCUACAAAUAAUAAUUUUUUAUAAUUAUUGCAUCGAAUUUUUUGGUUUUAACCAUUUUCUUCUUUUUAUUGUUAAUAUUUUCAAUAUUGGUGCCUGGUCAAUUGUAGACUCCGGGAGGGGGACUAUUUACGUCCGCAGUGUAAAGAAACUCAAGACAAGAAGAUAAAUACUUUUGAAUAAAAAUUCAAAACAUGAGUUGAAGCAAUAGGGAUAUCUUCAAAAUCGACUACCCAACACAUAACGUAACCAUUUUAUGAAUAUCCUAGCCAUAAACCUAAUCCUUAUGAAGUUCGAUCAUCUCCUAACCAUAAUUUCACAGUCUUUCUUGGACAAAC